UACGUAGGAUCCAAGCGUUGUCCGGAUUUACUGGGUGUAAAGGGUGCGCAGGCGGACUGGUUAGUCUGGGGUGAAAUCUCAUCGCUUAACGGUGAAACUGCCUUAGAUACUGCCAGUCUUGAAUCAGCGAGAGGUUCGUGGAAUUCCGAGUGUAGCAGUGAAAUGUGUAGAUAUUCGGAAGAACACCAGUGGCGAAGGCAGCGAACUGGCGCUCGAUUGACGCUCAGGCACGAAAGCAUGGGGAUCAAACAGGAU
rnacentral:rRNA from 1 species